UGCAGCUAACUGUGUGAAAUCGUGUGAACUGCAGGACACAUGAACAUCGACAUUUUGGACGCAUAUUGCGGUCCAUGCAAAAGUUUAAAUUUUUUUUUUUUAAACUGCAUGGACCACGUAUGGUUGAGUGUCGUA
rnacentral:rRNA from 1 species